rnacentral:rRNA from 1 species
GAGUAACGCGUAUGCAACCUACCUUUGGCACGGGGACAGCCCGGGGAAACCCGGAUUAAUACCCGGUAUAGUCUGUUAUACACCUGUAUAAAAGACGAGAGCUACGGCGGCCAAAGAUGGGCAUGCGUGCCAUUAGUUAGUUGGUAGGGUAACGGCCUACCAAGGCAUCGAUGGCUACGGGGUCUAAAAGGAUGAGCCCGCACACUGGUACUGAGACACGGACCAGACUCCUACGGGAGGCAGCAGUGAGGAAUAUUGGUCAAUGGGUGGAAGCCUGAACCAGCCAUGCCGCGUGCAGGAAGACGGCCUUAUGGGUUGUAAACUGCUUUUCUACGGGACGAACGGCUCUGACGUGUCAGAGAUUGACGGUACCGUAGGAAUAAGCAUCGGCUAACUCCGUGCCAGCAGCCGCGGUAAUACGGAGGAUGCGAGCGUUAUCCGGAUUUAUUAGGUUUAAAGGGUGCGUAGGCUGGGCAAUAAGUCAGUGGUGAAAGUCCGCGGCUCAACCGUGGGAUUGCCAUUGAAACUGUUGUUCUUGAGUACAGUCGAGGUAGGCGGAAUGUGUAAUGUAGCGGUGAAAUGCAUAGAUAUUACCCAGAACACCGAUUGCGUAGGCAGCUUACCAGCCUGGAACUGACGCUGAUGCACGAAAGCGUGGGGAGCGAACAGGAUUAGAUACCCUGGUAGUCCACGCCGUAAACGAUGAUCACUCGCUGUUGGCAAUAUAGAGUCAGCGGCUGAGCGAAAGCAUUAAGUGAUCCACCUGGGGAGUACGUCGGCAACGAUGAAACUCAAAGGAAUUGACGGGGGCCCGCACAAGCGGUGGAACAUGUGGUUUAAUUCGAUGAUACGCGAGGAACCUUACCUGGGCUUAAAUGUAGCCGGACGAUUCCGGAAACGGGAUUUCCUUAACGGCUGGUUACAAGGUGCUGCAUGGCUGUCGUCAGCUCGUGCCGUGAGGUGUCGGGUUAAGUCCCAUAAUCGAGCGCAACCAUUAUUGUUAGUUGCCAGCGGGUAGAGCCGGGGACUCUAAGGAGACUGCCACCGUAAGGUGUGAGGAAG